UACGAAGGGGGCUAGCGUUGUUCGGAAUUACUAGGCGUAAAGCGCGCGCAGGCGGCUAUCCAAGUCAGUGGUGAAAGCCCGGAGCUCAACUCCGGAACUGCCAUUGAAACUGUUUAGCUUGAGGAUGAGAGAGGUGAGUGGAAUUCCCAGUGUAGAGGUGAAAUUCGUAGAUAUUGGGAAGAACACCGGUGGCGAAGGCGGCUCACUGGCUCAUUACUGACGCUCAGGCGCGAUAGCGUGGGGAUCAAACAGG
rnacentral:rRNA from 1 species